rnacentral:rRNA from 1 species
UGGAAGUAAAAAAUCGUAACAAGGUCUCCGUUGGUGAACCAGCGGAGGGAUCAUUACUGAGUUUACGCUCUACAACCCUUUGUGAACAUACCUAUAACUGUUGCUUCGGCGGGUAGGGUCUCCGUGACCCUCCCGGCCUCCCGCCCCCGGGCGGGUCGGCGCCCGCCGGAGGAUAACCAAACUCUGAUUUAACGACGUUUCUUCUGAGUGGUACAAGCAAAUAAUCAAAACUUUUAACAACGGAUCUCUUGGUUCUGGCAUCGAUGAAGAACGCAGCGAAAUGCGAUAAGUAAUGUGAAUUGCAGAAUUCAGUGAAUCAUCGAAUCUUUGAACGCACAUUGCGCCCGCCAGCAUUCUGGCGGGCAUGCCUGUUCGAGCGUCAUUUCAACCCUCAAGCUCUGCUUGGUGUUGGGGCCCUACAGCUGAUGUAGGCCCUCAAAGGUAGUGGCGGACCCUCCCGGAGCCUCCUUUGCGUAGUAACUUUACGUCUCGCACUGGGAUCCGGAGGGACUCUUGCCGUAAAACCCCCAAUUUUCCAAAGGUUGACCUCGGAUCAGG